GAAAAUGUGAUACUUUCUUGAAUAUGCUGAUGGAAACAACAUGACAUCAAAAUCUAGCAUGUGUAAGAGAAGGACUGAUAGAGCCCGGGGCAGAGAUGAAAUGAGAGAUGAGUCUACAAUCAUACACAGCCACAAAUUAAAUCCAAGUCCCCUUGACUGCUAUUGACCUUUCUCUAACCCUAGCCAAGUUCUGACUAUUAGUUGAGAAGAUUCCUGUGCAUAGGCUUUUAACAAUAAAUCGGUUAAAUUGAA